CAGGUGAUCGCAGGUAGAAAUACGUGAGGAAAGUCGGAGCUCCAUAGAGCAGGGUGCUAGGUAACGCCUAGUGAGAGCGAUCUUAAGGAUAGUGCAACAGAAAUAAACCGCCCUUAAUAGGGUAAGGAUGGAAAGGCGAGGUAAGAGCUCACCAGCAUAUAGGUGACUAUAUGGCUAUGUAAACCCCACCUGGUGCAAGGCCAAGAUAGGAAUAAGAGAUGUUGCUCGCAUCUCCCGGUAGGUAGGCCGCUUGAGCCUAUUGGUGACAAUAGGCCUAGAAAGAUGAUCAUCAAAUACAGAACUCCGCUUAUAGCUAUACUU
rnacentral:RNase_P_RNA from 1 species